UACGUAGGGUGCAAGCGUUGUCCGGAAUUAUUGGGCGUAAAGAGCUCGUAGGCGGUCUGUCGCGUCGGCUGUGAAAUCCCGGAGCUCAACUCCGGGUCUGCAGUCGAUACGGGCAAACUGGAGUACUGCAGGGGAGACUGGAAUUCCUGGUGUAGCGGUGAAAUGCGCAGAUAUCAGGAGGGACACCGGUGGCGAAGGCGGAUCUCUGGGCCAUUACUGACGCUGAGGAGCGAAAGCGUGGGGAGCGAACAGG
rnacentral:rRNA from 1 species